AUUGAACGCUGGCGGCAGGCCUAAUACAUGCAAGUCGAGCGGAGCGGCGGACGGGUGAGUAAUGCCUAGGAAUAUACCCGGGAGUGAGGGCUAAAGUAAGGAAACGGGCGCUAAUACCGUAUACUACUAGAUGAGACUAGGACGGAUUAGCUAGUUGGUGGGGUAAAGGCCUACAAAGGCGACGAUCCGUAACUGGUCUGAGAGGCUGAUCAGUCACACUGGAACUGAGACACGGUCCAGACUCCGACGGUAGGCAGCAGUGGGGAAUAUUGGACAAUGGGCGAAAGCCUGAUGCAGCCACGCCGCGUGUGUGAAGAAGGUCUUCGGAUUGUAAAGCUCGUUAGUUUGAGAAGCGGUACCAAAAGAAUAAGCACCGGCUAACUUCGUGCCAGCAGCCGCGGUAAUUC
rnacentral:rRNA from 1 species